rnacentral:rRNA from 1 species
GACGAACGCUGGCGGCGUGCUUAACACAUGCAAGUCGUACGGUAAGGCCCUUUCGGGGGUACACGAGUGGCGCACGGGUGAGUAACACGUGAGUAACCUGCCCACAACUUUGGGAUAACGCUAGGAAACUGGUGCUAAUACUGGAAAUGUGCUCCUGCUUCAUGGUGGGGGUUGGAAAGCUCCGGCGGUUGUGGAUGGACUCGCGGCCUAUCAGCUUGUUGGUGGGGUAGUGGCUUACCAAGGCGGCGACGGGUAGCCGGCCUGAGAGGGUGACCGGCCACAUUGGGACUGAGAUACGGCCCAGACUCCUACGUGAGGCAGCAGUGGGGAAUAUUGCACAAUGGGCGCAAGCCUGAUGCAGCAACGCCGCGGGCGGGAGGACGGCCUUCGGGUUGGAAACCGCUUUCAGCAGGGACGAAGCUUUUUGUGACGGUACCUGCAGAAGAAGCACCGGCUAACUACGUG